GUGCAAACGCCUCCCGGCUGCCUUCGACCAGCACUCUGCAAUGAGCUCCAGAUUCUCCGUGUAAACCUCGAACCUGAGAGGCUGCUCUACAAAGUUAGAUCGCGUCAGCUCUCAUGAUCUCGUCUUCAGCACUGGGCAUAUCCUAAAAAAGCUGGCAGCGUUAAAGUAUCGGUUCAGGAACUGAAAGCGUUUGUUGCUUCUGGUGGUACGCACCAAUGCAUCGAUUCCUCGAACUCGAGCGCUCUGUCCGAGUACAAUCUCCUCUAGGCAGACUUUCGUUCUUCUUCCUCGUCUUCGUCACUUGCUCUUAUUUGCUCGACGAUCACCGAGAAGAGGCUUUUUUCCGUUUUUUCUAUGGCACUCGGCUAUAACCGCCGUCCAGGUUCCGCGAUUUAUAGGUCCAUAUCUUUCCCUUGGAUUUUUCAUUUCUUCAAAUGAAAGAACUUCGGAGACGUCUGCUAUGCACCGCGACAAAACAAUUGAUUAAACGCAUCUCGGGGUGAAACACAAUUGACGUAAAAGACUGCAAAAUGCGUGAAAAACUGCCAGAGGAUGCGAAAUUGACGCUCGAACGCUGCCAUCAGCGUCCUUUGAGAGGUGACUACAGAAUUGGAAGGAAAGGGAAAACCGUCGUAUUGAACGCGGGCGAUACGCUAGCAGAAAAGGAAAGCAUCAGAAAAAUCCCGGAGAGGCUGAUGUAGACUACAGAGGGAAGAGACCCAAACUUUAGUACUUGCCUAAGAUAUGUUGUUGGACCUGUUCUACAUUAUACUCACGUGGAUGUAGAAAAGCCACGGAAAUAGUGUUUAUCUGUCGUGAGCAAGUGCGCCUCGGCCGUUUUGCUGUGCAGCGCAAUGCUCGCAAGCUAAGAAGGUCGGGAGCACGCAUUUACACGGUUGUACAAGAGUUAUGUCGCAUCCAGGGGCCUGAGCAGUGCACUACAACGGGCGAGUGGGCAACUUUUUCUGAUGCCACAGCGCCGUAAGGUUCAUAGAGCGCUUUGGUGCAAGACCUCUGCAGAUGAAGCUCACAGCCGCGCAUACGAGAGAUUUUCUUCAGUGCUGAUCAUUAAACCAUCAGCUGGUUCGGAGGAACGUUCUCGUCAAAUUGAUGUUCCGGCUCGCGUUGCUGUUGAAUACGGAUAUCCGACGAUUCUGCCUUUUUCUGGAGGCGCAGAGACUGGAACGCCGGCUCAAGCAACGAGGGCGACGCGUCACAGGAUGUUUCGUCUGUACCGGCUCUUGUAACCGUACCGUCGAUCUCAUUUUCCGAGACGGCGGCCAAUAUGCUACUAUAUUUGCGAUGAAGCGUGGCAAGAUUGUUCUGAAUAAAGACCUUGUGAUCCGUUAAUCGCUCAACUACCAGAAGAAGGGAAUCAUUUGCCGAAUCGUAUUCAGCCUGUGUGCUCGCAGCAAGCGUUCGCCAUUCUGUUCUUGCAUGCUCUAUGGCUUUCUGGCUGUUCGCUACGGUUUCCUGGAUAUUGUUUCGAAGAUCGCAAAUUUCCUCUUGGAUUCGAGCAUUCUUCUCCGAAGCGUCUGCGAGUCUCUUAGCGAGAGACUCGCGCUCGGCAUUGUAGGUAUUUUCGAGCCGUUGGAGCUUAGCUGUAAGGACGCGAUUGUUUUCGCGCUGUAGUAAUAUUUUCUCCUCCACCAUGCGGAUCGCGUCUUGCAACUCCAGUACUUCGCUAUUCAAUCUCUCCAGGUUCUCAGUUACCUGUUGCAUAUGCUCACGCAAGGCAUCCUGUAUAGUAGAAUGAAUUUUUUGAGCGUCGGCACUGCUAAUGUUCUUGUCGAUCGUAGAGGGCAGAACACCGUUGAGUGUGCGUGUUUCCUGGACUCCAACGCGUUCCACAAGCGCGUGAAUCCGGCGCAAAAGCUCAUCUAUCUUGCCUUGCAAUGUCUCCUUGUCGCACAAAAGUUCUUUUCGACGUGCUUCUUCUUCUUCGCGCUUUUGCUGGGCGCGGUCGAGCGCCGCUCGCAGUUCGCGACGGCGACGCGAUAUACGCUCUACGUCGAUGGAUAAGUUUUGCUGCGCUUCCAUUUUGUCUUUGAGUCCUUUCAGUUGCUCUAUAAGACUGGUGACCUCUCUGGCUUUUUCCUGGACUUCCUCUUCGCGCUCGGCUAAUUUUUUCUCCAGCAUACUCUUGUGGGCCGUCAACUGUGCAAUGAGUUUCCGAAAUUUCUCGAUAUCCGAAAGGUAAUCUUCCCUUCGUUGGCUCAGGUCAGAGAUCCGGGACUCAUUCUCUGAAACCGCCAACUGUGCUCGCUGUAGCUGAUUUUCGAGGUUUUGCAUCUGAAGUUCAAGGUCGCGCGAGCGAGAAGUUGCAGCCGAAUUGCGGGAGCUAAAUACUCCUUCGAGCUCAUUGUCAAACUCUUCAAAAUCGUCCGAGCCUGCGAGGAAUGAAGAAUAUGUGGCAGAGACGUAUUCGAAGAAAACCUCCUCAUCUGCUCGCGCUUUUAAUUCGAUGGAUGCCUCGUCGUCAGCAGUUGUCUCUGCCUCGGGAUCGGCCGCUCCAUCGAGAAUACCGACAGAAAACAUGAUGCGCUUCAUCUGCCGAGUUUUGAUAGCGCUGUGUUCCACAUCGAAAAUCAGCAGCUCCACGAGCCAGGCCAAGCACCCGAGCAGCGUUGGCCAAGUGUGUGGGGACCCUACCGCAUAGAGCGCAGACUUGCUCACGUUAAAAGGGUAUUUCAAGCGCUUCAGCAAGACCGGAACUUCGUCCUCGAACUUGGACGUCCACUGAAAAUGCGGGUCAAGCCGUCGAAUCAGAAAAGUAAAAAUGGACUGAAAAUCCUUUGCCGAAGGGCUCGACAGAGUCUUCAGAGAAACCGGAUGGUCAUAGUGGUGCUCUGUCAAAUAGCAAAUUAAACUCUUCAUGCAAGC
rnacentral:misc_RNA from 1 species